UUGGCGUGCAGCCAAAAACGAGUUUCCACCGAGAGUCACGUUAUCAGGUAAUUAAACGUCAUUUGUAUCUAGAGGUAGCUGCAGCUUAGUCAGAGCUAUUUUCUGUCUUCUGUUUAUUUUGAAGGCGGAUGCCAGAGGCGACAGAAACAGGACGUUUCAGGACUGUUCCAGAGGGAUGUUCAAGGCAACUGCUUCCCUGCUUUGAGACACAGCCAGCAAAUGCCCCGUCUGAAUUGACCAAAGGCCAGGCGGGGUUCAACCUACUUGUGAAUGAAAGACUCCCUGUUUCCAGCAAGAGUUGUCAGAGAUCCCUCUGCAAGUGUUACAGUUUGUAAAUGAGAACAGAAGGGCUUCUGUAGAAACCCGAAAAGCGCAGACAACAGACGCCAGGGACUUCCCGGCCCCUUCUCUGGACAACCUAACUUGGUUUCCGUACGAUCCUUGUUGCUCUGAAGAGUGAAUCAGCCGGCACAUGCGUGCACCGGAGAGAGGUCCUUGACUCAGAGCUGAGAUCGUGUCUCCCGGCAAGAGGACCCAGAGGGCUGGUCCCCCCCCCACCGGAGAAGCAGCCGUUCGCUUACCUACAGCCGGCCUGGCCCAGAGACAGCCCUUCAGGAAAUACAAGGACAGAGAGGACAUGUUAUGUCUGGAACACUCUUGCUUGUUUUUCAGGAGCUGGCUGGCUCUGACAGUCAGUGUGUUCCUGGAUUUGAAGCCCUCAGCUUGCCGCAGUCUAUCUGGUUCCCGUCCGAAUAUCCUUCUCCUGAUGGCAGACGAUCUCGGCAUCGGAGAUGUCGGCUGCUAUGGCAACGACACCAUAAGGACUCCGAACGUUGACCGCCUUGCCGCGGAUGGCGUAAUGCUCACCCAGCACAUCGCCGCGGCUUCCGUGUGCACGCCAAGCAGAGCCGCUUUCCUAACAGGCAGAUACCCUCUCCGAUCAGGUAUGGUGUCCAGUAAUGGUUACCGUGUUCUUCAGUGGACGGGCGUAUCUGGAGGACUUCCACCAAAUGAAACAACUUUUGCAAAAAUAUUGAAAGAUAAAGGCUAUGCCACUGGACUCAUAGGAAAAUGGCAUCUGGGUCUCAACUGUGAAUCCUCCGAUGAUUACUGCCACCACCCGCUCAGCCAUGGCUUUGACCAUUUCUACGGAAUGCCGUUUUCCAUGAUGGGAGACUGUGAGCCCGGGGAAAUGUCUGAAAAGCGCGCAGGCUUGGAGCAUAAACUCAACGUCUGCUCGCAUGUCAUGGCGUUGGCCGCCUUUACACUCACCGCUGGGAAACUCACUCGCCUGGUAGCGGGCUCCUGGACUCUGGUCAUCUGCUCAGCCAUUGUGGCCCUACUGUGCCUCACGACCUCCUAUUUCAUGGGUGCCCUGAUUGUUCACGCCGACUGCUUUCUGAUGCGAAAUCACGCCAUCACCGAGCAGCCCAUGUCCCUUCAAAGGACGACGGCUCUUAUGCUCAAGGAGGUCUCAUCCUUUGUCAAAAGAAACAAGCAAGGACCUUUCCUCCUCUUCGUGUCCUUUCUACAUGUCCACACUCCUCUCAUCACUACCGAGAACUUCCGAGGGAGGAGUCCCCAUGGGCUGUACGGGGACAACACAGAAGAGAUGGAUUGGAUGGUGGGGCAGAUCCUUGAUACCUUGGACACGGAAGGUUUGACCAACAGUACCCUCAUUUAUUUUACGUCGGAUCAUGGGGGAUCCUUAGAGGCUCAGUUUGGAAACCAUCAAUAUGGUGGCUGGAAUGGGAUAUAUAAAGGUGGCAAAGGCAUGGGCGGCUGGGAAGGUGGGAUCCGGGUCCCAGGGAUACUCCGGUGGCCCGGGGUGCUGCCCGCUGGCCGCCUGAUCCACGAGCCCACCAGCCUGAUGGAUGUCUUCCCCACCGUGGUCCAGCUGGGGGGUGGCCAGGUGCCCCAUGACAGGGUGAUUGACGGCCGGGACCUGCUGCCCUUGCUCCUGGGGACAGCCCAGCACUCGGAGCACGAGUUCCUGAUGCAUUACUGCGAGAGCUUCCUGCACGCAGCCCGGUGGCACCAACGGAACACUGGAUUCUCCAUCAUCGUCUGACUGGAGCUGCUUGAGGUUUUCUGUUUCUAUGAAUCUUUUUAAAUCCAGCUCUUGGAUUUACUAAACAACUGUAUUUUUAAAUUUUCUAACUGCUUGAGUUCUGCCUCUGCCUUGGUCUGUGGUAACAGACUUUCAGCUAUCUGAGUUUCUUCUCUUUUCUUCAUUUCUGUUUCCCUCUCUAUUAUUCUGCAUUUUGCCCUGACAUUUUCUCCCUUUUUUGUGGAUUUGCCUUAAGGACUUGGUUUUCUUCCAGGGUUUGGGAAGGCCUAUAGCCCUCUUGCAAUUCAACUCACUCUUUUUUCUUUAUGCCUCAAAACCAUUCUCUGGACAGGUCCAGUUGUCUGAAACAAGAAUAAAAGAAUACCUUUUGGAAUCCCCCUUAUUUGAGGAAGUUACCAAUAGAUUUUUAAAAAAUCUCCCUCCUUUUCCUGUCCAUCCUUUCCAGUAGUAUCAUCAUCUGGGAUGUUUUUAUUGCUACAUUUUUGGGUUUUUAAGAAUUUCAUAACAUAGAUUUCCUCUUUUAAGAUUAAAAAAAAAAAAAAAAAACUUUCACUCAGGGACUUCCCCGGAAGUCCAGUGGUUAAGACUCCGUGCUUCCACUGCAGAGGGGGACGGGUUCAAUCCCUGGUUGGGGAACUCAGAUCCUGCAUACCAUGGGGCGUGGCAAAAAAAACAACAAAAACUUUCAUUCAGUUACCUAGCACAGUCUACAACUAUUUAUGCUUACGGAUAAUUUUUAUUGCUACAUUUUUGCCUUUUUAAACUUACAUACUAUAGAUUUCCCCUUUUACGAUUUUUUAGAAAACUUUCAUUCCAUUGCACAGUUCAGUCUACCAGCAUUUAUGCUUAGGGAUGAUUUCUGUUGCUACGCUUUUGAUUUUUUAAAGUCACAUAUUAUAGAUUUCCCUUUUUAAGGGGUUUUUUUUAACUUUCCUUCAGUUCCACAGCCCAACCUUCAAGCACUGCUGUGAGUGGCACUGAUACCUGGGAGCAACGUUCAUCCUCUUUUCCUUUACCCCGUGGCUGCCCCAUUACCGAACCUCUCCUCUCUCAGUUAUUGGGCAAAUAUCUCAAUUUUUUUUUCAAGGUAGAUAGGGAGUGUGUUCUUACUUUUUUUUUUUUUAACUUUUUGUUUUUCGGCCGUGUCACGCGCCAUGUGGGAUCUUAGUUCCCCAACCAGGGAUCGAACCCACGCCCCCUGAAUUGGGACCGUGGAGCCCUAACCACUGGACCGCCAGGGAAGUCCCCUGUUCCUACUUGCCAUGUCUCUUCGACGGCCCCCUCACUGGCCUCCCCAGGUCCACUCUUCAUCCCACUCCCAUUGUCCACUUAGCCCUCCAUGAAAACCUUUCCAGGACCACCCACCAUACCGAUUCCUCCCUGUGACAUGAGCCAGCCCCUCCCCUUCUCUGGGGCAAGAGCUCGGACCCUAGGAGCCCCCGGUCACCAAGCUGCAGCAGAACCAUGCCCUGUGAUUCUAGAACCUGCAGUUACUGCCUCAGGGCCUUUGCACGACCCGUCCCUGCCAUCGAGAACAUGCUCAGGAGGCUGACCGUCCUCCGUUCUUGACCUUCACGUCCCGCAUCCACCAUGACCCCACCCCGCACCUUGCACACGUCCGCCUUCCAUCACCUGGACCGCUUGUAUUUUCUUCCAGGCAUCCGGCACUCUUGGCAAUCUUCUCAUUUCUGGUGUCUAUUUACCGCUCUCUGGCCUGAGUCCCCUCCCUACGACUCUGUCUGUCUUCUCUCUGUACUCAUCUGCUGAAUGAUGAAA